rnacentral:rRNA from 1 species
AUGAACGCUAGCGGCAGGCUUAACACAUGCAAGUCGAACGGCAGCACAGGUAGCAAUACUGGGUGGCGAGUGGCGCACGGGUGCGUAACGCGUAUGCAACCUACCUCUAUCUGGGAGAUAGCCCGAAGAAAUUCGGAUUAAUACCCCAUAAUAUAUGUCUUUCGCAUGUUAGACAUAUUAAAGCUUUGGCGGAUAGAGAUGGGCAUGCGUGACAUUAGCUAGUUGGUAAGGUAACGGCUUACCAAGGCUACGAUGUCUAGGGGGUCUGAGAGGAUUAUCCCCCACACUGGUACUGAGACACGGACCAGACUCCUACGGGAGGCAGCAGUGAGGAAUAUUGGACAAUGGGCGAAAGCCUGAUCCAGCCAUGCCGCGUGCAGGAAGACGGCCCUAUGGGUUGUAAACUGCUUUAUAUGGGAAUAAACCUCCGAACGUGUUCGGAGCUGAAGGUACCAUACGAAUAAGGAUCGGCUAACUCCGUG